rnacentral:rRNA from 1 species
GAUGAACGCUGACAGAAUGCUUAACACAUCAGCACUUGAUUGGUGGCGGACGGGUGAGUAACGCGUAAAGAACUUGCCUCCCCGCUAGGAACAACAUUUGGAAACGACUGCCACUACCUAAUACUGUGAGAGAGCUUUGCGUCCCAUUAGCUAGUUGGAGAGGUAACGGCUCACCAAGGCGAUGAUGGGUCGCCGGCAUGAGAGGGUGAUCGGCCACAAGGGGACUGAGACACGGCCCUUACUCCUACGGGAGGCAGCAGUGGGGAAUAUUGGACAAUGGACCAAAGGCGGAUCCAGCAAUUCUGUGUGCACGAUGAAGUUUUCGGAAUGUAAAGUGCUGUCAGUUGGGAAGCGGUACCAACAGAAGAAGGGACGGCUAAAUACGUACCAGCAGCCGCGGUAAUUC